ACCUCCAUACCGCCAGUCAAGAACUCGGCCGCACCUUCCCAAGGUACUGCGACGCCGAUUCCGGGCAACAAGGGUAUGGUCAAUCCGACGCCAGUGUCGUAUUUUGGGGCAAUGCCAUUGCCCUCUCGGUCUUCUGACGGUCAAUGCUGAGAUGCUUGUCAACGCGGACGCCACAGGAAAUGGGUAUCACCCAUAUCCAGUAGGUGAGGCUUUACGUUGACCUGCGUUUCGUUUCUAAAUGUCUGUUAGGAUGCAAGCUAUUGGGAAAUUAGGGGCCACAUGCCACGUAAAACGGUAACGGUAUUAUCUAGCACAGCAUUGAACUAAACAGUGCGCGCUGCACUCUGCCUGCAUGAUGCAGUCUAGUCGAGCACUGCGCGCUGCACUCUGCCUGCAUGAUGCAGUCUAGUCGAGCACUGCGCGCUGCACUCUGCCUGCAUGAUGCAGUCUAGUCGAGCACUGCGCUGUCCCAAUGUCAGUAUGUCAGUACAGUGUACACGUACUGCAGUGCAGAGAGCUGGCCCGACAGCAUGUGCCGUGCACUGUUGGCUAGUAGUACGUGUAGUACCGGUACUAGCACUCAGUGGCAGUGCAUGCGGCUAUACGGUAGCUAGCAGCAUAGCAUUGGCCGGAUUGUUUUGCCAACGCAUAUAAUUAUUAUAGAACUAUUACUUAGAAGGCUUUCCAAGUUGGAAGGCUGUUGGAGUGUGCGACGGAGAUGUGCUGGAGCUGAUUGCCAGUUAGUGGUAGAGAACGUCAGCACCGUUGCGUUGGUCAGUGUCAUGCAAUGUGAUUAUGUCAUCGCAUGAGCGGAUUGGCCAGUAACUGAUGGCGGUGGAUGGCGGUAUGGCCCUCGCACAACACUGCCAACUGUUCCUCGUGCCGACAUCACUCAGGCUGGUCCUGUGGACAACGUAGCCUCUCGAAUGCGUCCGACUUGGAUCAUCUGCAUCACCUGCGUGAAAUCGCGCCAAGGGUCGCCUUCAAUGGCAACAUCUCGAACCGAUAUCAUCAUUUUAUCCCUAAUAAAUGACUGAAACAUUCAGUUGAUGAUCAUCAUCUGUUUUCUGAUGUGCAAGCUCACCUCUGAUGCCGAUCACAUCCUUGCUUAGACCCGGUCUGCUAUUAGACCAGUCUGCUCUCCCUCCACUCGCUUCUAAAUCCUACUUGGAGCAGUAAGGCUGUCACUGCUCCUACUGAUGUCAUUGUUGUGAAAGCAAUAUCAUCGCCAUUGGUGGUAAUUUUCCACCAUGAAUGAAUCAUUAACAAUCAUCAUCUAUGUGUCACGGCCCAACCAUCCUCGUAACUCCCCUCAUUGUGACGAGUGCUGUAUCGUUGACACCUACUUUGCUUCAAUGUAUUUUCGCUCCAAAGCUCUUUUGUUGCAUAGUGAUCUGACACAGUGUGCUAUCGGGCAAUAUGGAUAAGAUUAGUACA